AAUUUCAAAAAACAAAUCGUUCUGUCUUUCAGAGUGCCUAUGUGGUCGAAUUAACCGGACCCCACGCUUAAUGUUAGGGCAAAACCGGCACACCAGGUCAUAAAGUCAAGAAGAAGCAGGCAUCAAAGUCAGCUCAAGGGCAUUGACUCCAGUAUUAGAGUUGAUAACCAAGUUCCCGCUUCAAACAGGAUAUAAAGAUUACUGAAAAGAACGACUUCUUAAGACAACAUCAACUGACGCGAUAAAAAUGCAACGGAAUCACCAUGAAGAGAUCGGUGCUUAUCCUGCUGCUUUUGUGCAUCAUUUCGACGGAAACUCACUGGGAAGUUGUGUAUGGCAAAAGUGCAGGUUAAUGUCGAAAUCAUUAGAAAUAGUGAUGCAGUGGCCAUUCCACUAUCAAAAAAGGCACCCAAGAGGAAAACGAUUAAAGUCAAAGUAAAGGGGUCGUCACCAAGCACCGGAAGCGCACCAAGAAGCGAAAGUACACCAAGCACCGAUAGUCCACCAUGGAUUGGCCUAAAAGAUAAUGGAACAACACACAUGUUU